GUGUUUCAUAUGACAAAAUGCUAUACUUGUAUUAUGUAUAAUUCUGAUACUUAAUAGUAUUUUUUAUAAUUUAUUUAAAGAAUUUCCUAAUAUGAGUUACAACUAGGCAUGAGUUACAAUUAGAGUUAGAUUUAAACUGGGUUGGAUUUUAAGUUGGUGCCAUUGUUCUCGUUCCUCUCCAUUCCCUAAGAGCAAUGGUCCUCGGUCCCUUCGGGUCCUUGGCUCCAGUCUAAGAAAAAGAUUAUAAUAAACUACAAUCUGUCAUGAUUAUCUAUAUAUAAUUUGCUACAGUAAAAACCUGAAACGAGGGCGAAUCAAUAAGUAACUAGCCUAACUUAUUUCCGGUUGAGAUCCACCUCUUCUUUUUCGAUGUAAUUGCCCUGUAGUGUGAUGCAUUUAUACCAACGGUGUUCAUGUGUCAUCAGCCCAGAACUGAAAAAGGUCAGGAUCCUUUCCAUUGACCCACUCCUCAACUGCCGUCAGACCGGGAAUGACGUCCACGGGUAUGCUUUUUCAAGUUUUGGAAUAGGAAGAUGUCGCUAGGAGAUAUGUCAGGCGAGUAGGCAGGAUGUGGUAUUGAUUCAUACCCGUUUCGCUCUACAGCAUGUACAUAUGUAUUGCAACUUUGCAAGUGUGGACUCUUGUGUUGUUCUGUUCCAGCAAAGCACCCUACCUUGGCGUUAUUCACGGAUGGCGGUUCUCAGCUAGUAUAGCAAUAACAGAGAUUGAAAUAGAAGCAACUAGUAUUUCCUCAACUCUUUCAUCGUCAUUGUCGUCAAAAUCGGUUGAAAAGUUUGUGUCUACACCUGUAAAGGUUUUGUCAACGGAAUUCACUACGAAAUUCACACAACUACCGAAUGUAGUAGUUACUGUACUAACAGAACAGACUAGCAACCCGUCCGUCACACUGAUAGUAUCUGGGGCUAUCAUAUUUCUCCUGCUUGUAAUACUUCUCGCAGUAUUAAGGAAAUUAUGGGUCAUGCACAUGCAAAGAAACUAUCGAAAAAAUGAAAUUGAAUCGAAACAUUUUACGGACGGAAACGAAGAGGAUGAAUACCAGGAAAUUGACAUUGAUGGUACUAUGGUUAAUCAUGGUGAUGUGUUAGGCAAUCGUUACAAUAUCAUAAUGGAGGAAUUAGCACAACAUCCGGAUUCAAAAUAUAAAUAUAAUAGGGCUAAACUAGAUAAGGAAGGAAAAUCGGUCUAUUCCCAUUAUCAUGAAAUUGACAAUGAAAAUAGUACCUCAUCAGGAAAUAAUGGAGGAUAUAUAGAACCAGAAUCACGAAGACCGACUCACUCUUAUAUAGAGGUUAUAGAGCCUAUGAUACAUGCGUCCGAUCCUGUAAAUAGUGACCAGGACGGGGGUAGCUCAGAUAAAUCUGACCAAUUGGAGGAGUAUCAAGAUACUAUGAAUAUAGACAAAAGUAACAAACCAUGUUUAAAUGAUGUAAAUGAGUCAAAACCUCAUGAUUCUAGCAUGAGUGACACGUAUCUCGAUGUUGUGCACGAUUUGUCGUAAUGUGAAUAUAUUUUUCAAUAAAAUUUUACACAACUGUUGUUUACUUUUAAAUCAACAGUAUCAUAACGAAUUUGAACACUUCACACCACUAUUCCUUUCAACACAUUAAAUACUAGGCUUUUCACAUCUUAGACAUCUGCUCCUGUAAUGAAGAUGGAACUCGAAAAAUUUAUAUCAAAAAAGUAUUUUGUUAAGCACUAUUUAGAUGCUGAUAUCAAACAUAUACUCAGUACUGGAAUGUCCGAUAGACAAAAUGUAGACUUCGGAAAUCGGGUCUUCCCGUAGUUUGUUGGAAUUCUCAUGGGCACAAAUUGUGCUAUUUUCUUGACUGACCUGUUUUUAUAAUCUUAUUAAACAGAAGGUUUUCAAAACUUUUACAGGAGAGGAAAACAUUGUUCUGCUGUAGCAUUGAACUCGACAUUUAGAUACACGGACGGCGUUUUAGCUAUAUAUUAAAGGGACUGGUCCACGAUUUUUGAACAAACUAUUUUUUAUUUUUUAUGUUAAACAUUAAAAGUAUAACUCAUUUAAUAUUGACAACUAAAAUGUUGACCUUCUGAAUGCAAGAAUAAAAGCUAUAUUCCACACUUAAAUCUUUGUUAUGUAAACAAAGACUCGAGUCUUUUUAUAUCUAUAAACAAACUGGUGAAAUAUUGAAUUUGUAAUAUAUUGCACCUUAAUUCUGCAUAGUCACAAAAUUUAACUUUUAGAUGACACACUUUACACAAAGAAUACUUGAAAUGUGAAAGAUAUAAUAAGCUUAGAUCGAUAUCCAUUUCUUUUGAAAAUUGACAAUAACAUACCGCAAUCUUUGUUUACAAACAAAUAAUGAAUUCUCUAAAAUGAGCUUCUGUGAUAAUGUAUAACCUUAAUUUUUAUGUAAAACAUUUUAAACAUGUUAGAUAGUAGAUUUGGAUCAUUAAAAGUGAAAAAUAAAUUUUUGGGGGAAAUCGUGAAUUAGUCCCUUUAAUACUGCUCAUUUUCAUUCAUAUGUCGAUCAAACAUAUCCCAGGUAAUUUAAAAUAUAUAAUAUUACAGAGUCUUUCACAUCUGUUUGAUAUUUGGAUAAUUUCAGUGAAAAUGGACACUAAUGGCUAACAAAUUCAACUUUAUGACAAACAGGAUGACAUCAGCUUCUCCAUUUUCAACUUCCCAUACUGACGUAGCAGUUUUCCAUUAUCACACGGAUAAGGUGCUAAUUAAAAGUCGAUACGACAAUAUUUGCCACACAAAAUACCUCGACUAUGUUCAUUCAACUUGAAUUUACCCAUUCCAUUGAUUCAGUUACCUGUGUGGAUCGCUCGAUAACCAAUAAAGGAAUGAUUUCAAAGAUGAUAAUGAUCAACGGAAGCCUCAUCAUUGCCUUGUUGUUGGUGUUGAUAAUCAUUAUAUCUGUACGAAAGUUUCUAAUGUUUAAGUAUUGGAAAAGAAAAAUAGAGUCAGAUCAUGCUCUACCAGAUCUGAUUGAAACAGUUUAUACGGAAGCUGAUGAGAUGCCCACUAAAAAGAGCCGUAAAAAGCGAAGCAAACCAAAAAAGAAACGCAACGCUGAAGAAAGAAAUCAGAGCUGUAGUGAAGAAAAUGAAUUGGAGCGAAUGUGUUUCAAAGAGUGAUCUGAUGAACCAGCGAGAGAUUUGCAAAGAAAUCGAGGCUCUUUCAGUCGAAAAAUGCAUAGGAACUAUGUCAAUAACGAUAAUUUUGUUUAGAUAAUUGUGUAGAUCAUGUCAAUGUUAUGAAAUCUGUGCAUGCACACUAGGGAUGCCAUUACUUAUAACAAAAACGAAAGAAAUAAAAUAUGAAAAAAGACAAAAA